CAAGUCGAGCGGACAGAUGGGAGCUUGCUCCCUGAUGUUAGCGGCGGACGGGUGAGUAACACGUGGGUAACCUGCCUGUAAGACUGGGAUAACUCCGGGAAACCGGGGCUAAUACCGGAUGGUUGUUUGAACCGCAUGGUUCAGACAUAAAAGGUGGCUUCGGCUACCACUUACAGAUGGACCCGCGGCGCAUUAGCUAGUUGGUGAGGUAACGGCUCACCAAGGCGACGAUGCGUAGCCGACCUGAGAGGGUGAUCGGCCACACUGGGACUGAGACACGGCCCAGACUCCUACGGGAGGCAGCAGUAGGGAAUCUUCCGCAAUGGACGAAAGUCUGACGGAGCAACGCCGCGUGAGUGAUGAAGGUUUUCGGAUCGUAAAGCUCUGUUGUUAGGGAAGAACAAGUGCCGUUCAAAUAGGGCGGCACCUUGACGGUACCUAACCAGAAAGCCACGGCUAACUACGUGCCAGCAGCCGCGGUAAUACGUAGGUGGCAAGCGUUGUCCGGAAUUAUUGGGCGUAAAGGGCUCGCAGGCGGUUUCUUAAGUCUGAUGUGAAAGCCCCCGGCUCAACCGGGGAGGGUCAUUGGAAACUGGGGAACUUGAGUGCAGAAGAGGAGAGUGGAAUUCCACGUGUAGCGGUGAAAUGCGUAGAGAUGUGGAGGAACACCAGUGGCGAAGGCGACUCUCUGGUCUGUAACUGACGCUGAGGAGCGAAAGCGUGGGGAGCGAACAGGAUUAGAUACCCUGGUAGUCCACGC
rnacentral:rRNA from 1 species